rnacentral:rRNA from 1 species
GACGAACGCUGGCGGCGUGCUUAACACAUGCAAGUCGAACGGAAAGGCCCUGCUUGCAGGGUGCUCGAGUGGCGAACGGGUGAGUAACACGUGGGUGAUCUGCCCCUUACUUUGGGAUAAGCCUGGGAAACUGGGUCUAGUACUGGAUAGGACCAUGCUGUAGGUGGUGUGGUGGAAAGAUUAGUUUCGGUAAGGGAUGAGCUCGCGGCCUAUCAGCUUGUUGGUGGGGUAAUGGCCUACCAAGGCGUCGACGGGUAGCCGGCCUGAGAGGGUGGACGGCAAAAGGGGGAAUGAGAAACGGCCCAGAAUCAUACGGGGGGGAGGAGGGGGGAAAUUGGCAAAAUGGGGGCAAGCCUGAGGCAGGGAGGCCGGGGGGGGGAGGGCGGCCUUGGGGUUGUAAACCCCUGUCAGACAGGAAGAAGCCCUUGGGGGGAGGGGAGGGGUAAAAGAAACACGGGAUAAAUAGGG